rnacentral:misc_RNA from 1 species
AAAAGACUUUAAAUAAAUAAUUUGAGUCUGGUAUCCUAACUGAACUUUUCAAAAUUCAAAAUGCAUUCUUCCAACGAGAAGCAGUGGCUUCACUUGUACUCAGGAAAAGACGAUUGCCACAAUCGCUAAAACAGGAAGAAACAUGUAUGAGCACUACCACACCUACUGGACUCUGGACCUAAUUACUCCAAGCAAACCUUUACAAAGGAUAACUAACCACAAAAGCAGGAAAUAAUAGUAAUAGAACAGCAAUACUGUAGAAACGGGCAAGGGGUGCAGCAGCAGGGAAAUACUGCAGAAAAGGGUAAAAGGUGCAGCAGCAGGUCUCACCUAUGAAAUUCAUCUAAGAUUUUUAGUAUCCAAUUGAGUACUUGACUCAUUCCCUCAUGCUAUCAUUGUCAUCUUCCGCCUCACUCAAAUCAAGAUCAGCUAAUAAUUCUUCCAAUGGGACAGAAGGAGCAUCAUCGUCAUCAGUCACAGAUGCCAUUUCCGAUGGCUGAUACUCCUUGUUACGAUAAAGAGAUAUUCUGAACCUCAUAUCUGCAUUCUCCUCUAUAUCUCUUAAGAAUAUUUCAUACUCAUUUUCUUUCUUCUCUUCAUCAUCUCUACCCUUAACAUUGUCAUCAAUCUCCAUAUUGAGAGACUUCAGCUUCCAUGAACGAGGCUUCCCACGCUUCUUCUGCCAUUUCUCCUCAUAGCUCUUCUUAACCAGUAUUACAUCUGGGAGAACAAAGCCUUUAUAUUUAUCAAGCUCACUAUCGUUACUAUUGGCAGCAUAUAAGUCAUACCCAAGUGCAUUAUCCCCAGGAUUCAGAAUAUGCCCCAAAUGUGUUCGUAUGUUGAAAAUUGUAUCAUUUUUUCCAAAAUCAGAUAUACGAGCUACUUGGGCGUCUGCCAAAGCAUACUUAGAUCCACCAAUAUUGACCUCAGAAGAAACAGCCUCAAUAUCUAGAACAAUAUAUUCCACAAGCUGCCUACUAGUAAGUAAUGACUUAAAGGACGCCCUCCAAUAUUGUUCCGCAUCAAGGAAACAGUUCCUGAGAGUCAAUGGGUCAAGUAACGCAAUGUGGUUACUCACCUUGGUGCAGAUCACAAGUGGCCCUAGAUUCCCCAAACUAUUUGAAACUUUAGGUGGAAG